rnacentral:tRNA from 1 species
GGGAAGGUGGCUCACUGGUAGAGCGCUUGCCUCACAUGCAUGAGGCACUGGAUUCCAUUCCU